GACGAACGCUGGCGGCGUGCCUAACACAUGCAAGUCGAGCGGAGUCGAUCGACGGAAGCCUUCGGGCGGAAGAUGGUUGACUUAGCGGCGGAUGGGUGAGUAACGCGUGGGCAACCUGCCUCGAAGACCGGGAUAACAGCCCGAAAGGGCUGCUAAUACCGGAUGUGGUCAAGGAUCCGCAUGGAUUUUUGAUUAAAGGGGAAACCCGUUUCGAGAUGGGCCCGCGUCCUAUCAGCUAGUUGGUGAGGUAAAAGCUCACCAAGGCGACGACGGGUAGCCGGCCUGAGAGGGUGACCGGCCACACUGGAACUGAGACACGGUCCAGACUCCUACGGGGGGCAGCAGUGGGGAAUCUUCCACAAUGGGCGAAAAGCCUGAUGGAGCGACGCCGCGUGAGCGAAGAAGGCCUUCGGGUUGUAAAGACUCUGUCUGGAGGGACGAAGGAAGUGACGGUACCUCCGGAGGAAGCCACGGCUAACUACGUG
rnacentral:rRNA from 1 species